UGCAGUCGAGCGAACAGAAGGGAGCUUGCUCCCGGAUGUUAGCGGCGGACGGGUGAGUAACACGUGGGUAACCUGCCUGUAAGACUGGGAUAACUCCGGGAAACCGGAGCUAAUACCGGAUAGUUCCUUGAACCGCAUGGUUCAAGGAUGAAAGACGGUUUCGGCUGUCACUUACAGAUGGACCCGCGGCGCAUUAGCUAGUUGGUGGGGUAAUGGCUCACCAAGGCGACGAUGCGUAGCCGACCUGAGAGGGUGAUCGGCCACACUGGGACUGAGACACGGCCCAGACUCCUACGGGAGGCAGCAGUAGGGAAUCUUCCGCAAUGGACGAAAGUCUGACGGAGCAACGCCGCGUGAGUGAUGAAGGUUUUCGGAUCGUAAAGCUCUGUUGUUAGGGAAGAACAAGUGCGAGAGUAACUGCUCGCACCUUGACGGUACCUAACCAGAAAGCCACGGCUAACUACGUGCCAGCAGCCGCGGUAAUACGUAGGUGGCAAGCGUUGUCCGGAAUUAUUGGGCGUAAAGGGCUCGCAGGCGGUUUCUUAAGUCUGAUGUGAAAGCCCCCGGCUCAACCGGGGAGGGUCAUUGGAAACUGGGAAACUUGAGUGCAGAAGAGGAGAGUGGAAUUCCACGUGUAGCGGUGAAAUGCGUAGAGAUGUGGAGGAACACCAGUGGCGAAGGCGACUCUCUGGUCUGUAACUGACGCUGAGGAGCGAAAGCGUGGGGAGCGAACAGGAUUAGAUACCCUGGUAGUCCACGCCGUAAACGAUGAGUGCUAAGUGUUAGGGGGUUUCCGCCCCUUAGUGCUGCAGCUAACGCAUUAAGCACUCCGCCUGGGGAGUACGGUCGCAAGACUGAAACUCAAAGGAAUUGACGGGGGCCCGCACAAGCGGUGGAGCAUGUGGUUUAAUUCGAAGCAACGCGAAGAACCUUACCAGGUCUUGACAUCCUCUGACAACCCUAGAGAUAGGGCUUUCCCUUCGGGGACAGAGUGACAGGUGGUGCAUGGUUGUCGUCAGCUCGUGUCGUGAGAUGUUGGGUUAAGUCCCGCAACGAGCGCAACCCUUUGAUCUUAGUUGCCAGC
rnacentral:rRNA from 1 species